AACGAACGGUAGCGGCGUGGAUUAGGCAUGCAAGUCGCACGUGAUCCUUGCUUCGGUGAGGUGAAAGUGGCGAAAGGGUGAGUAAUGCAUAGCUAACCUACCCCCGACCUUGGGAUAACCAGGAGAAAUCUUGGCUAAUACCAAAUAGGCUGGCUUGGUCGCAUGAUCGAGUUUAGUAAAGGAGGCCUCUUAACAAUGCUUCCGGUUGGGGACGGAACUAUGUCCUAUCAGCUAGUUGGUGGGGUAAUGGCCCACCAAGGCGAUGACGGGUAGCCGACCUGAGAGGGUGACCGGCCACACUGGGACUGAGAACUGCCCAGACUCCUACGGGAGGCUGCAGUCGAGAAUCUUCCGCAAUGGGGGCAACCCUGACGGAGCGACGCCGCGUGCGGGAUGAAGGCCU
rnacentral:rRNA from 1 species